CGUGCCCAAGAAUAAAAGGAAAAGGAGGUAAAAACCGGCAUAGAGGGAAGAAUGAGAAUGAAUCUGAAAAGCUAGAGCUUGUGUUCAAGGAGAAUUGGCAAGAAUAUGCUCAAGUAAUCAAAAUGUUAGAAAACGGAUGAUUGGAAGCCAUGUAUUUUGAUGGUGUAAAGAGAUUAUGCCACAUCAGAGGGAAAGUGAGAAAAAAGGUUUGGAUAAAUACCUCAGGUAUUAUAUUGGUGUGCCUCCGAGAUUACCAUGACAACAAAGUUGAUGUCAUUUUAAAAUACAACACUGAUGAAGCUAGAAUUCUCAAGGCCUAUGAAAAGCUUCCAGAGCAUGCUAAAAUCAAUGAAACUGAUACAUUUGGUUCUGGAGAUGAUGAAAUUCAGUUUGAUGACAUUGGGGAUGAUGAAGAAGACAUCGAUGA
rnacentral:lncRNA from 1 species